rnacentral:rRNA from 1 species
GACGAACGCUGGCGGCGCGCCUAACACAUGCAAGUCGAACGAGCGAGAGAGAGCUUGCUUUCUCGAGCGAGUGGCGAACGGGUGAGUAACGCGUGAGGAACCUGCCUCAAAGAGGGGGACAACAGUUGGAAACGACUGCUAAUACCGCAUAAGCCCACAGUGCCGCAUGGCACAGAGGGAAAAGGAGCAAUCCGCUUUGAGAUGGCCUCGCGUCCGAUUAGCUAGUUGGUGAGGUAAUGGCCCACCAAGGCAACGAUCGGUAGCCGGACUGAGAGGUUGAACGGCCACAUUGGGACUGAGACACGGCCCAGACUCCUACGGGAGGCAGCAGUGGGGAAUAUUGCACAAUGGGGGAAACCCUGAUGCAGCGACGCCGCGUGGAGGAAGAAGGUCUUCGGAUUGUAAACUCCUGUUGUUGGGGAAGAUAAUGACGGUACCCAACAAGGAAGUGACGGCUAACUACGUGCCAGCAGCCGCGGUAAAACGUAGGUCACAAGCGUUGUCCGGAAUUACUGGGUGUAAAGGGAGCGCAGGCGGGAAGACAAGUUGGAAGUGAAAUCUAUGGGCUCAACCCAUAAACUGCUUUCAAAACUGUUUUUCUUGAGUAGUGCAGAGGUAGGCGGAAUUCCCGGUGUAGCGGUGGAAUGCGUAGAUAUCGGGAGGAACACCAGUGGCGAAGGCGGCCUACUGGGCACCAACUGACGCUGAGGCUCGAAAGUGUGGGUAGCAAACAGGAUUAGAUACCCUGGUAGUCCACACCGUAAACGAUGAU